GACGAACGCUGGCGGCGUGCUUAACACAUGCAAGUCGAGCGGUAAGGCCCUUUCGGGGGUACACGAGCGGCGAACGGGUGAGUAACACGUGGGUGACCUGCCCUCAGCUCUGGGAUAAGCCUGGGAAACCGGGUCUAAUACUGGAUAUGACUCCAUGACGCAUGUUGUGGGGUGGAAAGCCUUGUGCGGCUGAGGAUGGGCCCGCGGCCUAUCAGCUUGUUGGUGGGGUGANGGCCUACCAAGGCGACGACGGGUAGCCGGCCUGAGAGGGCGACCGGCCACACUGGGACUGAGACACGACCCAGACUCCUACGGGAGCAGCAGUGGGGAAUCUUGCGCAAGUGGGGCGAAAGCCUGACGCAGCGACGCCGCGUGAGGGAU
rnacentral:rRNA from 1 species